rnacentral:rRNA from 1 species
AUGAACGCUGGCGGCGUGCCUAACACAUGCAAGUCGAACGGAGUCGUCUUGGAAAUCUCUUCGGAGAUGGAAUUCUCGACUAAGUGGCGGACGGGUGAGUAACGCGUGAGCAAUCUGCCUUUAAGAGGGGGAUAACAGUCGGAAACGGCUGCUAAUACCGCAUAAAGCAUUAAAUUCGCAUGUUUUUGAUGCCAAAGGAGCAAUCCGCUUUUAGAUGAGCUCGCGUCUGAUUAGCUAGUAGGCGGGGUAACGGCCCACCAAGGCGACGAUCAGUAGCCGGACUGAGAGGUUGAACGGCCACAUGAGUACUGAGGCACGGCCCAGACUCCUACGGGAGGCAGCAGUGGGGAAUAUUGCGCAAUGGGGGAAACCCUGACGCAGCAACGCCGCGUGAUUAAAGAAGGCCUUCGGGUUGUAAAGAUCUUUAAUCAGAAACGAAACAAAUGACGGUACCUGAAGAAUAAGCUCCGGCUAACUACGUG